UAAAACCAGCACCUCAGGUGGUCAGGAGGAUUAUUGGGCCUAAAGCAUCCGUAGCCUGCUCUGUAAGUUUCCGGUUAAAUCCAUUAGCUCAACUAAUGGGCCGCCGGAAAAACUGCAAAGCUAGGGAGUGGGAGAGGUAGACGGUACUCGGUAGGAAGGGGUAAAAUCCUUUGAUCUAUCGAUGACCACCUGUGGCGAAGGCGGUCUACCAGAACACGUUCGACGGUGAGGGAUGAAAGCUGGGGGAGCAAACCGGAUUAGAUACCCGGGUAGUCCCAGCUGUAAACGAUGCAGACUCGGUGAUGCGCUGGCUUGUGGCCAGUGCAGUGCCGCAGGGAAGCCGUUAAGUUUGCCGCCUGGGAAGUACGUACGCAAGUAUG
rnacentral:rRNA from 2 species